rnacentral:rRNA from 1 species
GCCAGACUCCUACGGGAGGCAGCAGUGGGGAAUAUUGGACAAUGGGGGGAACCCUGAUCCAGCGACGCCGCGUGAGUGAAGAAGUAUUUCGGUAUGUAAAGCUCUAUCAGCAGGGAAGAAAGAAAUGACGGUACCUGACUAAGAAGCCCCGGCUAACUACGUGCCAGCAGCCGCGGUAAUACGUAGGGGGCAAGCGUUAUCCGGAUUUACUGGGUGUAAAGGGAGCGUAGACGGCAGUGCAAGCCUGAUGUGAAAGCCCGGGGCUCAACCCCGGGACUGCAUUGGGAACUGCCCCGCUCGAGUGCCGGAGGGGCAGGCGGAAUUCCUAGUGUAGCGGUGAAAUGCGUAGAUAUUAGGAGGAACACCAGUGGCGAAGGCGGCCUGCUGGACGGUGUACUGACGCUGAGGCUCGAAAGCGUGGGGAGCAAACAGGAUUAGAUACCCGAGUA